UACGGGGGGGGCAAGCGUUGUUCGGAAUUACCGGGCGUAAAGGGCGCGUAGGCGGCCCGCUAAGUCGAACGUGAAAUCCCCAGGCUCAACCUGGGAACUGCGUCCGAUACUGGCAGGCUUGAAUCCGGGAGAGGGAUGUGGAAUUCCAGGUGUAGCGGUGAAAUGCGUAGAUAUCUGGAGGAACACCGGUGGCGAAGGCGGCAUCCUGGACCGGUAUUGACGCUGAGGCGCGAAAGCUAGGGGAGCAAACGGG
rnacentral:rRNA from 1 species